UGAGAGAGAAGGCACAGACUUUGUCAUAAAACAAUUUGAUGGAACGCAAAAAGCCACAGAUUGGAGUAUGAAAUAUUCAUAUUUCACAUAAGCAUCCCUUCCAUACUCUAAUAUGAGUAUGAAACCGAAUACGAAAAAUACAAAAUCCAAACUGAUGAAAAAAGGAUCAAGAAUUUGAAGAAAUAUUUGGGAAAAAUAGCAUCAGAAUGGUACCAAGCAAAUCUGCUGAAGGAUGAAGAAUACAACUGGGAAAAUUGGAAGGUUCAUUCACUGAAUAUGCCAUAAAAAAGGAAUGAUUAAUAUUGGAAGUAAGGAGGAAGACUUCUGAAGAGACAGGGAUAAAUCUAAUUGUUAUUGGAUUACCC
rnacentral:misc_RNA from 1 species